GAACGACGCUGGCGGCAUGCCUAACACAUGCAAGUCGAACGAGACCUUCGGGUCUAGUGGCGCACGGGUGCGUAACACGUGGGAAUUUGCCUCGGGGUAUGGAAUAACUCAGGGAAACUUGAGCUAAUACCAUAUAAUGUCUUCGGACCAAAGAUUUAUCGCCCUGAGAUAAGCCCGCGUAGGAUUAGCUAGUUGGUGGGGUAAAGGCUCACCAAGGCGACGAUCCUUAGCUGGUCUGAGAGGAUGAUCAGCCACACUGGGACUGAGACACGGCCCAGACUCCUACGGGAGGCAGCAGUGGGGGAAUAUUGGACAAUGGGCGAAAGCCUGAUCCAGCAAUGCCGCGUGAGUGAUGAAGGCCUUCGGGUUGUAAAGCUCUUUUACUCGGGACGAUAAUGACGGUACCGAGAGAAUAAGCCCCGGCUAACUCCGUG
rnacentral:rRNA from 1 species